AUGAUCUGGGGGGUCGCAGCCGCCGUCGCGUCCGCGGCCGCCGUCGCCGUGGCCUCCGGCGCCGAGCUCCUCGCGUGCGACUGCGCCCCGACGGCGCCGACCGCCGCCGCCGCCGUCGUCGUCGGCAGAUGCGACGGGUUCCUCUUCCGACAGCGGUUGCUGCAGCUUUCGCAGGAAUCCUCGUCGUCGAGCGGCCGGGACGACAGGUUCGCGCCGAGGUUCGACGGGCUGCGGUUCAUCCAGACGCUCGUCACGGCGCACCGCUGA
rnacentral:rRNA from 1 species